rnacentral:rRNA from 1 species
ACGCACGCUGGCGGCAUGCCUAACCCCUGCCAGUCGCACGAGACCUUCGGGUCUAGUGGCGCCCGGGUGCGUAACGCGUGGGAACCUGCCCUUAGGUUCGGAAUAACUCCCCGCAAGGGGUGCUAAUACCGGAUAAUGUCUUCGGACCAAAGAUUUAUCGCCUUUGGAUGGGCCCGCGUUGGAUUAGCUAGUUGGUAGGGUAAAAGCCUACCAAGGCGACGAUCCAUAGCUGGUCUGAGAGGAUGAUCAGCCACACUGGGACUGAGACACGGCCCAGACUCCUACGGGAGGCAGCAGUGGGGAAUAUUGGACAAUGGGCGAAAGCCUGAUCCAGCAAUGCCGCGUGAGUGAUGAAGGCCUUAGGGUUGUAAAGCUCUUUUACCCGGGAUGAUAAUGACAGUACCGGGAGAAUAAGCUCCGGCUAACUCCGUG